rnacentral:tRNA from 1 species
UCUUUAUAAGUAUAAAGUCUGUGUAUAUCUGAUUUCCAAUCAGGGGGAUUGCUCGCUAAAAGCAAAUAGAGAA